rnacentral:rRNA from 1 species
AUACAGAGGGUGCGAGCGUUAAUCGGAAUUACUGGGCGUAAAGCGCGCGUAGGCGGCUUAUUAAGUCAGAUGUGAAAUCCCCGGGCUCAACCUGGGAACUGCAUCUGAUACUGGUAAGCUAGAGUUUGGGAGAGGGAAGUAGAAUUUCAGGUGUAGCGGUGAAAUGCAUAGAGAUCUGAAGGAAUACCAGUGGCGAAGGCGACUUCCUGGCCUAAAACUGACGCUGAGGUGCGAAAGCGUGGGUAGCAAACGGGAUUAGAUACCCCAGUAGUCC